rnacentral:rRNA from 2 species
UGACCUCAGAUCAGACAAG